CGGGACAUAAAUCUCAGCUUGUGUCUUUCCUGGCUGUGCUCCUGCGGACGAAGCACCACGGGCCAGAUUCCGGCAGAGUUAUUCCUGCUCGCUCUCACCUUGCUUUACAAGCCCUAAUUCAAAUUGAUGGAGCUCUUCACACAAAAAGCUGCUUCCCGGUGUGAGGGUGGCAGGACGUGGCCAGCAGAUCAGCGUUUCGUGCCUGCCCGCUGCUUUCCCCUCUUCUCUUCCCUCUCUCCCCACAGCGAGUGGUCAGCGUUCUCACCGCCCCGGCGUGUUGACAUGCCUGAAAUAUCUCUGCUUCGCUGCCUGUGCUCUUGGAAGUAUUUUGCUGCUCUCUCACCUCUCCAUGAGAGAGACACAUUCAUCUGUCAGCUUAUCGGAGGAAUUUCCAACAAUCCGUGGCAGCGCUACAAGUCUCGAUCUUGCUGACCGUCAGCAAAGCAUACAAGCGGCUUGGUGGUGCAGGAGGGACCCAGGAGGAGCAGCCGGACCCCCCCCCUUCCGAUGGCCUCGGGGGGUCCCGGUGCGCCCCCGGCCCCGUGCGGGGGCUUCGGGGCUGCGGGGCCCGGCGCGGCCGGAGCUGCUGCUUCCCGCGAGUGCCCUCUCCUGGAAGCGGCUCGGGGCUCCUCCCCGGGCUCCUCCUGGGUGCCGAGCACCCGCCUGGAACAACCGUGAAGUUUCGGAGCCCCAAAUCCUGCCGGAGGCUCCCCGUACCCCCCGAGGUAGCCCUGGGGCAGCGGCCGUCCCUGUGGUGUCCUGUCUUCGUCCCCUGCCCAGCCAGCGCUGUGCUGGCACUUGUCCCGUUAGCACACUGCGUGUGUCCUAAAGGAAAGGGGGAAUUUACUUUCUGUAUUCCCGGGUGUUUUGUUUGGGGUAGAUCCUUGCAUUUUCCAGAAUUUGGGUUUAAAGACCGAAAGGUGUCACAGCGAGGCUGGCCUGCAGCCCUGCCCCGGAGAGUUUCUCAGCCCGCUGUGAAAAGCAAGCUCGGAGGCAGAGAGCUGCUCCUGGUGCUGGUUGCACGUGGAUGGACAUCGCCCUAACCACGGGGCAGAUUUUCUCGGGGCAGACUGGGACAAACCUCUGCGCUUCUUCCCUGCGGGAACCUCUCCUUUCCCUCCCCUGCCACCAUCACACCACUCCAGGCCGAUGAAUCCUUCUAAAAAUCCCUUUUGUCUGAAACUGGGGCACAAGGAGCAUUACCCAGAAGCAAUAGUUUUUCUUAUAACCAAUUAAAACACCCAGCGAGCCGACGGCUGGUUGGAAGGCAAAGGUCGUUCCCCCCGCGAGAUCCCAGCGUGAUGAACCAGUUAAGAGGAACUCAGGCCAAUUUAUUUCCUGAUAGAUAAUGAUGGGAGUUUUCACCGGGGAUCUGUAAUUUUCUAUUGAUGAAAAUCUGCCUUUCCUGAUUUGCAGAGUUAUCUGUCUUUCUAAACUUCAGGGCUCUUGCCAAAUUCGCAGGCAGCCCUGUAGAAGUGCCUCGUCCCACAAGAGCCAUGUAUUUUAAUAUGAAGUAGUUUUCUGUGCCCUGGAUCCAGGAGCAGUUCUCCACGCUGACAACCCAUAAAAGACCUAAUGACCCAUCUGAGGAACGUUAACCAGCCCGUUGGCCAUUUGAGACAGUGCAUUUGUUUGUUUUUUAGCCCCCUGCUCGGUAGUCUAAUUUCUGGAGAGGAUCUUUGGGGUCGGGUUGGAUCUUCAGAGCCUUUUAGCGUUGCGUAAUUAAAAAUCACACUGAAGGGUGGCUUAGCCUUUAAUUUUUAAAGCCUGAGGUGUCAAGUCCUGGGCAGCCAAGCCUUGUUAAACAGCCGGGGGUGGCUUCUGGCUUUGCCCCCCCAGCCCUCUGCCCAAAUCCCAUGUUUCUGGCUGUGAGUUAAUUCCAGCAUCUCAGCCCCACCACCCCGGGGCCGUUCUUGAGAGCAGGGUUUGGUGGGAGCCCACACGCCUGUGGAUAAAUAAACACCUUUGCAAGCUGCA
rnacentral:lncRNA from 1 species